UGACCGUAUCCGAAUCUGAUGACGGAUAUAAGAGGCCGGACGGACAGCCGGGUCAAAUGCCGA
rnacentral:sRNA from 12 species